rnacentral:rRNA from 1 species
UACAGAGGGUGCGAGCGUUAAUCGGAAUUACUGGGCGUAAGGCGCGCGUAGGCGGCUUUUCAAGUCGAUUGUGAAAUCCCCGGGCUUAACCUGGGAACUGCAGUCGAGACUGUCUAGCUCGAGUAUGGGAGAGGGAAGUGGAAUUUCAGGUGUAGCGGUGAAAUGCGUAGAUAUCUGAAGGAACAUCAGUGGCGAAAGCGACUUCCUGGACCAAUACUGACGCUCAUGUGCGAAAGCGUGGGGAGCAAACAGG